AGCGAACGCUGGCGGCAGGCUUAACACAUGCAAGUCGAGCGCCCCGCAAGGGGAGCGGCAGACGGGAGAGUAACACGUGGGAACAUACCUUUUGGUUCGGAACAACUGAGGGAAACUUCAGCUAAUACCGGAUAAGCCCUUACGGGGAAAGAUUUAUCGCCGAAAGAUUGGCCCGCGUCUGAUUAGCUAGUUGGUGAGGUAACGGCUCACCAAGGCGACGAUCGGUAGCUGGUCUGAGAGGAUGAUCAGCCACACUGGGACUGAGACACGGCCCAGACUCCUACGGGAGGCAGCAGUGGGGAAUAUUGGACAAUGGGGGCAACCCUGAUCCAGCCAUGCCGCGUGAGUGAUGAAGGCCUUAGGGUUGUAAAGCUCUUUUGCCCGGGAAGAUAAUGACGGUACCGGGAGAAUAAGCCCCGGCUAACUUCAUG
rnacentral:rRNA from 1 species